AUUGAACGCUGGCGGCAGGCUUAACACAUGCAAGUCGAGCGAGGGAAGGUAGCUUGCUACUGGACCUAGCGGCGGACGGGUGAGUAAUGCUUAGGAAUCUGCCUAUUAGUGGGGGACAACAUCUCGAAAGGGAUGCUAAUACCGCAUACGUCCUACGGGAGAAAGCAGGGGAUCUUCGGACCUUGCGCUAAUAGAUGAGCCUAAGUCGGAUUAGCUAGUUGGUGGGGUAAAGGCCUACCAAGGCGGCGAUCUGUAGCGGGUCUGAGAGGAUGAUCCGCCACACUGGGACUGAGACACGGCCCAGACUCCUACGGGAGGCAGCAGUGGGGAAUAUUGGACAAUGGGGGGAACCCUGAUCCAGCCAUGCCGCGUGUGUGAAGAAGGCCUUAUGGUUGUAAAGCACUUUAAGCGAGGAGGAGGCUACUUUAGUUAAUACCUAGAGAUAGUGGACGUUACUCGCAGAAUAAGCACCGGCUAACUCUGUGCCAGCCGCCGCAGUAA
rnacentral:rRNA from 1 species